AUCGCUUCUUGGCCUUUUGGCUAAGAUCAAGUGUAAUAGUCUUCUAUUCAUAAUAUUUGGAAAUCUAUGCAAGUUUCAGUGAUACACAUCCAUAAAUGAAUGUAUUUUGUGUCUGCUAAUGUGCAUAGUUAAUGGUGGGGUCAAAUUUACAUCCCUGCAAUUAAAUGCAA
rnacentral:snRNA from 1 species